UUUACAUAGCUUAAGAACUAAAUUGAUUUAAAAUAGAACUUGAAACAUCUAAAGAAUUUAGUAUCGGAGAAAGAAAUUUAAUUCAAAGAAAUAAAAGUACUGUAAAGGAAAAAGCUAAACACAAAAAAAUUAGUUUAAUUUGCGUACUUUUUGCAUCACGGCUUAGCAAGAACUAACUUAAAAUUUUAAAUUCUCGAAAGUUAGCGAGCUAUUUUUUUCCGGGAAUUAGACCUAAUUUUUAAAACUACUCAAAAUGUAGCAAAAUUUUAGUAAGAGUUAAAAAUAGAGAUGAAAUUUUAUCCGCGCUAACGAUAGCUAGUUUUCCCAGAAAUGUAUAGAAGUACUAAAAUAAAAAUAAGUCAGAGAAACAUUAGAUUCUAUGAUUUGUUUUAAUAUUAAAAGUUUUUAAGGAUAAGCUUGAAAACAUUAGGUAAAAAAUAUAUACAAAACUUAUAAUGUAGGCUUGAAAUUGGCCACCAUAAAAAACUUAUUAUAAAGUAGUUUUUAUAUCUUGUAAAAUGAAUAUAUUUUCCAUUCCGAUCUUUAUGGGGAUAAAAAACCAAACUAAUUAGUUUUUUAACCUAUGCUAAGAUGAGUAUUAAAUAUUGUGGUAGAAAUUAAGAAUGUUACAAUUUUGAUUCUUGUAAGAAAUUGAAAUUUAAAUAAAAUAGGGAGAAGGAACUCGGCAAAAUAAAUUGCUUCGCCUGUUUAUCAAAAACAUGGCUCUCUGCUAAUAAAAAAUAGAGAGUCGAACCUGCCCAGUGAAGAUUUUUAACGGCCGCGGUACUCUGACCGUGCAAAGGUAGCAUAAUCAUUUGCCUUAUAAUUGAAGGCUUGUAUGAAUGGUUUGACGAGAGCAGUACUGUCUCCUCUUUAAUUGAUAGAAUUUAACUUUUAGGUGAAGAGGCCUAAAUAAAAUUGAAGGACAAGAAGACCCUGUCGAGCUUAAAAGAAAAGUAGGAAAUAGAGCUAUAAUUAUCUUAAAUGUGUUACUACUAAAGCUUUUUGGUUGGGGCGACUAAGGAACAGAAAAAGCUUCUUUAAAUAAAUAUACCUGUUAGUGGUGAUCCAGUAAACCUGAUUAAAAGAAUUAGUUACCGCAGGGAUAACAGCAUAAUCUCUCUUAAGAGACCAAAUCGAAAGAGGGGGUUGUGACCUCGAUGUUGGACUAGAAUAUCCUAAAGAUGCAGAAGUCUUUAAGGGUUGGUCUGUUCGACCAUUAAAAUUCUACAUGAUCUGAGUUC
rnacentral:rRNA from 1 species